rnacentral:rRNA from 1 species
UUUGACAUCAAGUCAGGUAGGACUACCC